rnacentral:tRNA from 4 species
GGCGGCAUAGCCAAGUGGUAAGGCCAAGGUCUGCAAAACCUUUAUCACCGGUUCAAAUCCGGUUGCCGCCU